rnacentral:rRNA from 1 species
CUACGGGAUGCUGCAGUGGGGAAUAUUGCACAAUGGGCGCAAGCCUGAUGCAGCCAUGCCACGUGUAUGAAGAAGGCCUUCGGGUUGUAAAGUACUUUCAGCGGGGAGGAAGGGAGUAAAGUUAAUACUUUUGCUCAUUGACGUUACCCGCAGAAGAAGCACCGGCUAACUCCGUGCCAGCAGCCGCGGUAAUACGGAGGGUGCAAGCGUUAAUCGGAAUUACUGGGCGUAAAGCGCACGCAGGCGGUUUGUUAAGUCAGAUGUGAAAUCCCCGGGCUCAACCUGGGAACUGCAUCUGAUACUGGCAAGCUUGAGUCUCGUAGAGGGGGGUAGAAUGCCAGGUGUAGCGGUGAAAUGCGUAGAGAUCUGGAGGAAUACCGGUGGCGAAGGCGGCCCCCUGGACGAAGACUGACGCUCAGGUGCGAAAGCGUGGGGAGCAAACAGGAUUAGAUACCCGGGUAGUC